ensembl:snRNA U6 U6 spliceosomal RNA
GUGCUCGCUUCGGCAGCACAUACACUAAAAUUGGAACGAUACAGAGAAGAUUAGCAUGGACCCUGCAAAAGGAUGACACAAAUUCGUGAAGUGUUCCAUAUUUAA